rnacentral:rRNA from 1 species
UACGUAGGGUGCAAGCGUUAAUCGGAAUUACUGGGCGUAAAGCGUGCGCAGGCGGUCUUGCAAGACAGAUGUGAAAUCCCCGGGCUUAACCUGGGAACUGCAUUUGUGACUGCGAGGCUGGAGUGCGGCAGAGGGGGAUGGAAUUCCGCGUGUAGCAGUGAAAUGCGUAGAUAUGCGGAGGAACACCGAUGGCGAAGGCAAUCCCCUGGGCCUGCACUGACGCUCAUGCACGAAAGCGUGGGGAGCAAACAGG